rnacentral:lncRNA from 1 species
AAAGGCUGUGUGAAGUGGAAGCUCAAGAAAUAUCGGAGGAGGUGUCUGGCACAAUGGUGCAUGCCUAUAAUACCAGCACUUUGGGAGGCUGAGGCAGGAGGAUCACUUGGAUCAGGAGGUCAGGAGUUGGAGACCAGCCUGGGCAACAUGACUGGGAAGCGUCACUGAGGUCCUUCAAGGAGCAAGCGAGGCCAGGCACAGAUUCCAGGGACACCGC